rnacentral:ribozyme from 1 species
ACGGGGGGGAAUGAAGCGGCGUGCUUUAGUGUCUGUUUUCGUGACUGCUUGAG